rnacentral:rRNA from 1 species
UACGUAGGUGGCAAGCGUUGUCCGGAUUUACUGGGCGUAAAGGGCGUGCAGGCGGUCUGUUAAGUCUAGGGUGAAAGCUCCCGGCUCAACUGGGAGAGGUCCUUGGAUACUGGCGGACUUGAGGGAGGCAGAGGAGAAUAGAAUUCCCGGUGUAGUGGUGAUAUGCGUAGAUAUCGGGAGGAAUACCAGUGGCGAAGGCGGUUCUCUGGGCCUUACCUGACGCUCAGGUGCGAAAGCUAGGGGAGCGAACAGG